AGGGAGAUAGCUUAAUUGGUAGAGUGCUUGCCUUGCAUGCAUGAGGCCCUGGGUUCAAUCCCCAGCUUCCCAC
rnacentral:tRNA from 1 species